GCGAAAGUGGCGAAAUUGGUAGACGCACUGGAUUUAGGUUCCAGCGCCGCGAGGCGUGAGAGUUCGAGUCUCUCCUUUCGCA
rnacentral:tRNA from 2 species